rnacentral:rRNA from 1 species
CAAGACUCCUACGGGAGGCAGCAGUGGGGAAUAUUGCACAAUGGGGGAAACCCUGAUGCAGCAACGCCGCGUGAGUGAAGAAGUAUUUCGGUAUGUAAAGCUCUAUCAGCAGGGAAGAAGAAAGACGGUACCUGACUAAGAAGCCCCGGCUAACUACGUGCCAGCAGCCGCGGUAAUACGUAGGGGGCAAGCGUUAUCCGGAUUUACUGGGUGUAAAGGGAGCGUAGACGGCGAUGCAAGUCUGAAGUGAAAGGCGGGGGCCCAACCCCCGGACUGCUUUGGAAACUGUAUGGCUGGAGUGCAGGAGAGGUAAGUGGAAUUCCUAGUGUAGCGGUGAAAUGCGUAGAUAUUAGGAGGGACACCAGUGGCGAAGGCGGCUUACUGGACUGUAACUGACGUUGAGGCUCGAAAGCGUGGGGAGCAAACAGGAUUAGAUACCCCUGUAGA